rnacentral:lncRNA from 1 species
AUCCCACUCAUAUUCUCUUUGUAGUUUCUUUAGUUUUUAGUUUUUUAUUUCUUUUUAGUAAGGUAUUGGCUUAGAUGACAGAUUUGCCAAUUACCAAGCUUUUGUUAUUUAAUUCUUUUUCAAUCAAAAAGUAUUUUUAUUCAAAGAUCUUUUUUCUUGUUUCUUGUUUACAAAAUCUUGUUCUUGUUUCUUUAAAUUUCAACACAAUCAUUCCAUUUAAAUUUCAAGAUUUAAGUUUUUUGUUUUUUUUACAAGUUUGGCCUACUCUUUUCUUACAUGUUAUUUAAUUUUUUUCAUGCAAUCUUCAUUCACUUUAAAGGCAAUUUGAUAAUCUUGAUUUCUUAUUUUACAAUCCUUACUUAUUGUUUAAAUUAGUCUCUAGCUUUAGUCUUGUACUUUCCAAGUAACAAUUGGUGAGGUCAAGAUCCCUACCAUAUAUCACCUUUAAUCUUUACUUAAUCCAUGUCUACUUAAACCCUGUAACCUUAAAACCUUACAAAUUCAUUUGGUUAGAUAUAGGUUCUCAGCCUUUUACCUUUCAUACUUGUUAACUAUCCAACAUUACAUUCUAUAAUCCUUGAUGAAAGAAUACUUGAAAUACUCCAUUUUAUUACUUGAUCUGUAUACUUGCAAGCUCUAUACAAAAAGCAACAAAUCAGUUGUGACCAUAACUUUAUAGUGAUCAUAAAUUUCAACCAUUUUGUUUCUAUAUUUUUAUACAUCUUUAAUACAAUUAUACUUCUAGUACAAUUUGAUAAACUCAAUGAAUAAACCAAACCAUUUUAGUCCUUUUAAGAUAUGUAAAGACUUUUUAUGAUUUUACUUUCAUAAGUGUACUAAACUUAUUAACUUAUAUAAUUUGCUCAUAGAAUUAUACUAAAAUCUUAUAGCAUUAUGGAGGUAAUUUUUAUUUCUUUUAAUUCUUAUCACAUCCACCAUGUGCAAGUAUGCAUUCUUUUAUUAAAAAUAUUUAAUUCAAUUAUUAAGAUAUCAUAUAUACUUAAUCAAGUUGUCAUUUCAUUUAUCUUUUCACUAUUUAGUGAUUUUUUUUAAGUAUGAGGCCUCAAAUCUACUCUUAAUGAAAGAUAACUAGCAAAUAUUAUAUAUCUUAAUAUGUCUUUUUCAUAAAAGUUUCAAAACUUUUAUAUUUUAACUCAAUAUAAGAGUUUAUAUUAAUAAGUAGAUUUCAAAUAUAAUCAUGCUUCUAUAAUCUUUUUUAAUACUUUUUAUACCAAUCCAUAAAUAUUUAUAUAAAUCUAUUUCAUUAUGACAUUAUUAAUAAUUUUUAAUACCAU